rnacentral:rRNA from 1 species
CGAAGGAUGCAAGCGUUAUCCGGAUUCAUUGGGUUUAAAGGGUGCGUAGGCGGACUUGUAAGUCAGUGGUGAAAUCUCUCAGCUUAACUGAGAAACUGCCAUUGAUACUGCAGGUCUAGAGUAUAGAUGACGUUGGCGGAAUAUGACAUGUAGUGGUGAAAUACUUAGGUAUGUCAUAGAACACCGAUUGCGAAGGCAGCUAACGAAACUAUAACUGACGCUGAGGCACGAAAGUGCGGGGAUCAAACAGGAUUAGAUACCCUGGUAGUCCGCACCGUAAACGAUGAUUACUCGUUGUUGGCGAUAUGACAGUCAGCGACCAAGCGAAAGCGAUAAGUAAUCCACCUGGGGAGUACGCCGGCAACGGUG